rfam:Nippostrongylus brasiliensis genome assembly, scaffold: NBR_scaffold0001214
AUCCUUCCUUCUUGGCGCUGCUACGUCAUUUACGACUAGUAGUGUAUGUUAAGGAAGGUAAAACAUGUCCUUUGGAUAUUCGGAUCUCCUUCGGUGCUAUUCUAGCAGAACUUCGAAUAGUGUCAUCCUCUGGAUUCGAGACAUUU